CAGCGUCCACCCUGUAAUGAGGGGACAGGUUGCAUCUCGCUUUUGAAAUCUGGGGGAUUAUAAUCAUUUCCAUAACAUGGGCAGCUUGACCUCCCUGUAACUAGGGUUUGCAUCUCCGUGGCCCUUUGGGUCUCCGUUAGCUGGUUAGUGGGAGUGACUGCCCUGUAAUCAGGGUGCCAGUCACCUCCCCCUAAAUGUGGAGGGCACUGAGCUCUUUGUUAAACUGAGCAAUGUGACCGCCCUGUAACUAGGGUCCGGGUCUCUGCCCACUUGCUCAUUUGGCUUUACGCCGUGCUCUGCCCCACUAGUCAGCGUGACAACCCUGUAAAUAGGGUCCAUGUCACAAGGCUCUCCUGAAUGGGACAUAUCGAGCUCUUUGGUACUUUCACAGUUUGACCUUCCUGUAAUUCAGGUUAUGGUCUCUCCUCUUUGGCUAAUGCCAGCGACCACCCUGUACUGAGGGGACAGGUUGCAUCUCGCUUUUGAAAUCUGGGGGAUUAGAAUCAUUUCCAUAACAUGGGCAGCUUGACCUCCCACUAACUAGGGUUUGCAUCUCCGUGGCCCUUUGGGUCUCCGUUAGCUGGUUAGUGGGAGUGACUGCCCUGUAAUCAGGGUGCCAGUCAUCUCCCCCUAAAUGUGGAGGGGCACUGAGCUCUUUCUUAACCUGAGCAAUGUGACCGCCCUGUAACUAGGGUCCGGGUCUCUGCCCACUUGCUCAUUUGGCUUUACGCCGUGCUCUGCCCCACUAGUCAGCGUGACAACCCUGUAAAUAGGGUCCAUGUCACAAGGCUCUCCUGAAUGGGACAUAUCGAGCUCUUUGGUACUUUCACAGCUUGACCUUCCUGUAAUUCAGGUUAUGGUCUCUCCUCUUUGGCUAAUGCCAGCGACUACCCUGUACUGAGGGGACAGGUUGCAUCUCGCUUUUGAAAUCUGGGGGAUUAGAAUCAUUUCCGUAACAUGGGCAGCUUGACCUCCCUGUAACUAGGGUUUGCGUCUCUAUGGCCCUUUGACUCUCUUGGCCUCGUGCUGUCUUUACAGCCUGCUGCGAAGGACCGCCCUGUCAUCAGGGAUCGGGUCUUUGCUCUCUAGUCUCUUGGCACUAGGCCAAAUGCAGCCACUGCCCUGAAUGAGCACCCUGUAAACAGGGUACAGGUCUCAUCAACUACUAUUUAUGGUGCCCCCAUAAAACUGUGCCCAGAGUUCCGGCCCUUCAAGCAGCGCUUCCAACUUGCCUGGAAUUCUGCAGUCAAGUCUCCCUCUUUCUACUCCCUUCUUGGACUUUUGGAGACCUGACAUGCUAUUGGUGGCACCAUGAAGCACAAGUGGAGAAGAAAGAAGUGUCAGGAAUGCCAUACACAGAGAAGAAAAGAAGAUGGAGGAAAAGGAAAGGAACUCUGGGCACAGUACCCUCCCUCAGAUCAGCCUCAGGUCAUGUAAUUAGACUGUAUGGGAAUCUCGAGCCUUUUAAUACCUUGAGCAGCGUGACCGCCCUGUAAGCUGGGUCCCGGUCUGUGCCAUUGUGUAUUUGGACAUUCGGCUCCGUGAUCUGGCUAGUGUGAGUGACUGCCCUGUAAUCAGGGUGCCAGUCACCUCCCCCUAAAUGUGGAGGGGCACUGAGCUCUUUGUUAAACUGAGCAAUGUGACCGCCCUGUAACUAGGGUCCGGGUUUCUGCCCACUUGCUCAUUUGGCUUUACGCCGUGCUCUGCCCCACUAGUCAGCGUGACAACCCUGUAAAUAGGGUCCAUGUCACAAGGCUCUCCUGAAUGGGACAUAUCGAGCUCUUAGGUACUUUCACAGCUGGACCUUCCUGUAAUUCAGGUUAUGGUCUCUCCUCUUUGGCUAAUGCCAGCGACCACCCUGUAAUGAGGGGACAGGUUGCAUCUCGCUUUUGAAAUCUGGGGGAUUAGAAUCAUUUCCAUAACAUGGGCAGCUUGACCUCCCACUAACUAGGGUUUGCAUCUCCGUGGCCCUUUGGGUCUCCGUUAGCUGGUUAGUGGGAGUGACUGCCCUGUAAUCAGGGUGCCAGUCAUCUCCCCCUAAAUGUGGAGGGGCACUGAGCUCUUUCUUAACCUGAGCAAUGUGACCGCCCUGUAACUAGGGUCCGGGUCUCUGCCCACUUGCUCAUUUGGCUUUACGCCGUGCUCUGCCCCACUAGUCAGUGUGACAACCCUGUAAAUAGGGUCCAUGUCACAAGACUCACUAGAAUGGGACAUAUCGAGCUCUUUGGUACUUUCACAGUUUGACCUUCCUGUAAUUCAGGUUAUGGUCUCUCCUCUUUGGCUAAUGCCAGCGACCACCCUGUACUGAGGGGACAGGUUGCAUCUCGCUUUUGAAAUCUGGGGGAUUAGAAUCAUUUCCGUAACAUGGGAAGCUUGACCUCCCUGUAACUAGGGUUUGCGUCUCUAAGGCCCUUUGACUCUCUUGGCCUCGUGCUGUCUUUACAGCCUGCUGCGAAGGACCGCCCUGUCAUCAGGGAUCGGGUCUUUGCUCUCUAGUCUCUUGGCACUAGGCCAAAUGCAGCCACUGCCCUGAAUGAGCACCCUGUAAACAGGGUACAGGUCUCAUCAGCUACUAUUUAUGGUGCCCCCAUAAAACUGUGCCCAGAGUUCCGGCCCUUCAAGCAGCGCUUCCAACUUGCCUGGAAUUCUGCAGUGAAGUCUCCCGCUUUCUAGUCCCUUCUUGGACUUUUGGAGACCUGACAUGCUAUUGGUGGCACCAUGAAGCACCAGUGGAGAAGAAAGAAGUGUCAGGAAUGCCAUACACAGAGAAGAAAAGAAGAUGGAGGAAAAGGAAAGGAACUCUGGGCACAGUACCCUCCCUCAAAUCAGCCUCAGGUCAUGUAAUUAGACUGUAUGGGAAUCUCGAGCCUUUUAAUACCUUGAGCAGCGUGACCGCCCUGUAAGCUGGGUCCCGGUCUGUGCCAUUGUGUAUUUGGACAUUCGGCUCCGUGAUCUGGCUAGUGUGAGUGACUGCCCUGUAAUCAGGGUGCCAGUCACCUCCCCCUAAAUGUGGAGGGGCACUGAGCUCUUUGUUAAACUGAGCAAUGUGACCGCCCUGUAACUAGGGUCCGGGUCUCUGCCCACUUGCUCAUUUGGCUUUACGCCGUGCUCUGCCCCACUAGUCAGCGUGACAACCCUGUAAAUAGGGUCCAUGUCACAAGGCUCUCCUGAAUGGGACAUAUCGAGCUCUUUGGUACUUUCACAGCUGGACCUUCCUGUAAUUCAGGUUGUGGUCUCUCCUCUUUG